GCAGGCCCUGCUGCUGGCGCGGCAUGUGACGCAACGGGCGACGCGGCCCGGCAUUUUUCUCUAAAUCGGCAGUAAAUACAGCUGAGUAAAAUUAGCUUGGUUUUCUUCCUUCUUUUGUAACUGAACUGUUUUUAUUAAAAAUCCUAUUUGAAUAUGUAGAAAAAGUGGGGAUGUCCUGUAAUAUAUCGUAGCUUUUCUUGUUUACAGGGUACUGAGAAAAUACGUCUCCCUUAGAGUCCCACGGAAAGGUUCUCAGUGCGCUCUCUAUCAAGUGCUAUGAGUCUUGAUCAAUUGGAGAAGAGCCCAAGAGAAAUUUUUCAUCCCUUGAUAUAAAAGGGAUCGGUGAAUUUUAACUUUGGAGUCCCCUAUGCUAAGGAUGCUCAGCUUACAGGUGAUGAAAUGUUCAGUAAUGUAUUUGCUGCAGCUCUGCUUACCCAAGCUUUGAGUUCCUUCUGUCCCACGGGGAGUUGCCCAGUUUGGUUGCAUCUGGUGAAAUUCACCCUGAGACCUUACAGAACCAGCUCCAACUACGUGAGAGCCAUUUGCAGUUCUCUCCAGACACCUGGAGAAUGGGCGACGUUUCUGAGGAUCCGGCGAGCAUGCUUCUAUCAAAACUCAGUCUGUGAAGUUUCUGGGGAAAACCCUUCUGUGUCCUGAAGGGUUCAAACUCUGGUGAGGAUCCAGUUAUCAGGGGCUCACCUGGAUGGUUCCAGCUCCCAAAGGGAAAGACUCUCGUAUCCUUGUCGUCGGGCUCGGUGCUGUCCAAGAAGAUACAGAGACUAAAAAAAUCAUAAGAAGCAAAAUAUGACUGCAGGGAAAAGAAGCUGGAGAGAACAGAAGAGCCCUGUUGUAUUAAUCAUCAUACAAGUACAAAACAAAAAAUCAGACCCUGUCCCAAGCACUUAGAGCCCAGAACACGAUUUCCUCAGGCUGCCAUUUGUGUGCCAUCGGUACUCACCACGGAAGGGAGCUGGGGAUUGUUGCAGCUGUUGGGAACAAACUGCUUCUCGUCACACAGCAAUGGAAUUGGGACGACGCCUCGGCCAGCCCCUCUCUGCCAUCAUCUCCUGAAUCUGCAGCAGAGCAGUUCCAGUCCAUCCGCGCACGUGUAAUCCAGUUCCUGAUGAUCUGAGCACACGGAGCAGCGCUCAGCUGCUGUGGGGGCUCAGGGAAGGCAGAGUGUGCAUUGUCAUCUUCCUGAACCUACAGACGAAUCAAAGUGAGAAGCAACAGCGUGGAAAUCAGUCGCAUAUAUGCUAAAUAAAACUUGCAGAUUUUUUUAAGAAUUGUUGUUGCUUGUUCUUUGUUGUGCUUUAGUGCUUAGAAAACCUCCCUUUAAAAUCAGUUCAGUUCAUGAGUUGAACCUUUGUUUGCAGACCCUCACUGAGCAGAAUUCAUUGCAGACUCAGUGCACGCUGUGCCGGCCUCCCGGGAGUGUGAGGAGCUCAUGUGUGCUACUUUUUGCUUUAGGACGCUCUGAGGUAUUUAUUCCUUUUGGGAUACAUGAUGAGAAUUCCCAAGAGAGGUAGUUAUAAGGUAUGACAUCGGGAAAAAGCCUGUGUGGUUGGAAUGUUGUUGCUGUCAAAAGUUAAUUUUUUCUUAGCCAGUAGUUAGCUUUUUGCUUUAUUUUUGUGGUAUCAGUAUUUUGUUGUUUAAAAAAUUGCUUCAAAAUAACUUCAGUGGCUGGCCAUCAGUACCUUGUUCAGAUUUGCCUAUUUGCUUGUAGCUGAAAUGUUCACAUCUUGUUUAUCAUUCUAUUUAAGAAACUGCUGCCCAGCCAACUAAUAACUGAAUAUCCAUCUGUCUGGGACACGGGGAGAGGAUUUAGGUAAUGUCUUUGUUUCCAGAAAGAAGUUCCAGUGUAGUUUCUAAAUAGAGGAGAAGGGGGUGAAGACUCGGGGCUCUGAUGCCGUUGGGGCGCCCCAAGGUCCCCAGGAGAAGGAGCCCCACUGGGGUGCAG